CACACACACACACACACACACACAGCGAAAGCUGUAAGUGCUCUUCUAAAAGCACUGCAUGUUGGAAAAUUAGACUAGGAGGCACUUUGACAACUUUUUAGACCACAGAUUUCUGGGGAAGCCAAAAAGAGCUGGGGUGGCAAAACUCGGAGCACAAGGAAUGCCUCACAGCUGUGCUGGGGGACCAAGGGUGUGGAGAAUAAGCCAGGGACCAGGAAAAGGCUCAGCCUCCCAUCCCCUAUUACUGUCAGUCUUGAGGUGUGGCUGCCAUUCUCUUGCAUACCCAGUACUCCUUGCUGGGAUGCUGGGAUCCCAGGGGUAAAUGCCAAACCUAGCUUCAUCCCUUCCUUAACCCCCCACAGUACUUUGUUUGCAUUUUUCUUAGGGUACUCGUUGCCCACCUCCCUUUAAUCCUUCCAAAAACAUGUGCCCCAAUGCCAAGGGCAUCUUCCCUGCUUCUGCAUCCAGGAGCUCUUAAGUCUAUACAAAUUGAAAUACACAUUCAACAUACCCUUGGGGAUUUGAUCCAAAUGAAAAGCGAAGAAAUAAGCAGCUCAGUGUGAGCUCUGAGCAUGUGUCCAGGCUUACUGUAGUGAGACACUGUAAGUAGAUCUACCCUGUGGAUCAGUUAAACUGCAGCUGAAAGCCGCAGGUGAUCAGAAGGGUGGGCACCAGUUUACGUGGGGUUGAAGUUCAUAAUAUUGAAAGAACCUUUUUAAAAUAUAUCAUAUAUAUAUAUAUUUAUAUGUAAUUACAAAUGUAAGAUAAGGUCCAAGGCUUGGAGGUGGGAGGCUCUGAAGUUGAAAUUUCAAGAACUUCAAGGGUAAAUAGCCUGUGGUCUUUGCAAGUGGCUGGCAAAGGGGUCAAAGAGAUAGGACUCACCUUUGACUGAGCCUUGAAGAAUGGGCAGAAUUUGGAAGGACCAAAUAAACAGGGCCAGGAGGCAGGAUGAACAAAGACAUUUAAUACUGCCAGAGGCCUGCUUGGAGAGCCUGUGAGCAACCCAGUCCAGUUGGACAGAAACGUUGCAAAGCACAUGUGGAAAGAGGAAGGCCUGAAAGUCAGCUGAAGUCAGUUGCGGGGGCGGGGGUGGGCCUGGAGUGCAGGCUGACACCUCUGAAUCGUAUUUCACUAGUUGUAGGAGCCACGGAUUUGUAUUUUUUAAGUGCAGUUCAUUUACUUGAAGAAAACAAUGUUUUAGGAAGAUUAGCCUGGCUUUAUUGUGCAAGGCAAUGAAAAAGGAGGCACUUACGGAGUCCAGGCUUGGGUGCUAAGGGCCUAAACUUAGAUUGUUGAUGAAACUCAGACUGUAGCUUUGCGAAUGAGAAGGAAAUACCUAACUCAAUGGAUUUUGGUGAUUUUUAGGGACCAAGAAGAGAAGAAUUCCAAGAUGAUUGAGGUUUCUGCUGAGCAUUAAACUGUAUCAUUGAGAGACAUGAGAAGGUUAAAGAGGGACAGAUUUGAAGGAGAAAAUAGAAGAGGAAGAUUUUAGACAUUUCAGACUAGAGGUGAUGGGAGAACUAUGAAUUCUGAGACGGCAAUAGGGAAUUGAGGGCUGGAGACUGAUUUGGUAAUCAGAAGCACCCAUUUAUCCAUUCAUGCCAUAGGAAUUUGGUUGGCAACCUCUGGAAAAACCAGCCCUGUGUUGCAUGUCAAAAGGGAUGUAAAAGAUGAAGAGGUCCCUCCCUUCCGUAAAUUAAAUUUAGGACCUCAAGAGAGAAGAGAUGGAGGUGAAACGAGUGAAGUGAGGCAUGGUCUGUUGUGAACAAGAAUGAGCCACCUCACUGUGGGGGAAAAAGUUGGCGAUGGCAUCCGUCACCCAUUGGUUUCCAAAGAGUAUUGGACUCAGUUGACUCACCAUGUGGUAGCCCCCAUCCACUGUGUCCCUCCCCAAAUGACAGGCUUGUCUGCAGAGAACAAUGUCCACAGAGGUUACAGCUGUCCUCGGCUCCCUGAGUGAAAGAAGUUGUUACAGUAAAUAUGAUGCCAUUCAUGCAGUGGAGAGAUCACUGGGGAAAAUUCCUGGAUCCUGAAGGAGGGAGAACUGUAUCUGAACAUGGAAGAGAAAGCUGACUUCCCAGAGGUAGCUCCAUUAAAAUAGGGAGGAUGUCUCCUAGGAGGUGAAGGAGAUGUAACCCCAUAGGGAAGCUCAACUGACUUUUCUCGUGCUGUUCCGUCUGUUGAGAAUGGCUGAAGCUGAGAAGCCAGCAUCAGAAACUAAACAAAGGGAAAAAGUAAGAGUCAAGGUGGAGGAUAAGGGUACAGGGUUGAGAAGAGGAAUGGGCAACAAGUCCACGAUUUUCAAGUGAAGCUGAACCCCCAGCUUCUAACUUAUUGUUUACAUAGCAGUGAACUGCCUAGAGCUUUUGCAGAAUCUAUAGAGGUGACCUUAUGCAUGUUUCUUUAACUUCUAUUGCUGAAGUGUGUUUCAAUUUCCUUGCUUCGUGAUACCCUUUCUGAAACUUACAUGAAUAUGUGUAAUAGGUAAAUUUUAAUGUGACAUACGUUAAUUUUAGGCAUGUCAGAGUAAGCAGCCACUAUCAAGGGAAAUCUGAACUCCGCAGGGUUGGAUCUUCCUCUCAAUAAUUUGACAUCAAAUGGUGUGUCCCAUCCUUAUAAGAAAAAACUGCCUGUGGUCUAUCCGCAAACCAUACUUGGGAGAUGAUUUGCAAAAGAUGCUGUUUCUUAAUCUACCUUACUCUCAAACUCCUUGGCUGCCAUUUUUUUUUACCUUGCUUUACUUACAUGAAUAAAGUGAAGACAGGGAGGACCAGAAUAAAGAAAGAAGGAGGAAUCAAAUUAAUUUUGCUGCUUAUUCCUACUUGGCCACCAAGAUACAAUAGAUGUCAAGGCUGUGAGUAGGACGAGGAUUUAUAGUCAUUUCCAUGAGUGGUGAUACACAUGGCCCGUGUGCCAAGAGAGCUGGUUGGUCAAUGAAACAGGACUUCCUGUGCUCAGUGCUGAAUAAGCUCACCAGCAUCCAGCCUGAGAUGACGGGGGGAAGUCCAAGGGGCUUUGUCUGUCACUUGCAAUUACCAGGAUCAACCAAGCUAAGCUGCUUGUCCUGACUGCCGAAAAGUUCUCACCCCAAAGAAUUUGGCCUUCCCCGAUGCAUGAUGGAAUCUUGCUCAGACAUUUGAAGCUAUUCUCAAUGAGAAACAAACAAACAAAAAAAGGCGAGAAACAACAACAACAACAACAAAAAACAGAUACAAAGUGGGAUCCUUUCGUUUAUUAGAAACUAUUUCCACAAACUGAGCAAUCUGGAGACUUAAAAGUUCUGACACGUGUGUGUAGGUCUGGCAAAUCCUACUAGUUUACUCUCCUGGCUCAGAUUCCUUUGUAAAAAGUCAGAUGCUGCUGAUGUUCAUGAGGCUUCUCUUCGGGCACCAGGGUAGACAAGAUAACCUGAAUAUCUACAACAAAAUGCCUGGGAAAUGUUGGGUACAACUUGUAAAACAUAAUUUUAAUGCACAGCUGAGCUCACAGGAGGGUAAUGGAAACCCCCAAGAGUCAGAACGCCAAGGGGACAGACCUCUGGAGAAGGAAGCCUAAGUGGCCGCUGGAGCACCUGGAAGGUAGAAGUGUACGGUAGGAUGGGUCUGCUUUAAGAAGGCAGCUUUGAAUGCCCACACCAGGAAAAGUGACAGAAACCUUAGGCCUUGCCUACGGGUUGUUGGAACUAAGAAACCCCUCACACAGAUACAUAAAUUUGGGACUCUCUAAGAACAAUACAGCACCUUGGGAGACUGAGACAGGAGGAUUGCUUGAGGCUAGGAGCUCAAGACCAGCCUGGCCAACGUUGCAAAACCCUAUCUUUACAAAAAAUUUUUUAAAAAUUAGCCAGAUACGGUGUCACACACUACUUGCAUAGUUCCAGCUACUUGAGAGGCUGAGGUGGGAGGAUUAAUCAAUUAUCUAGGACUCACAGAGGUUUUGAAGUUUAAAUUUAAAUAUAUAUUACCCUUAUAUUUUGGGAAUUCAAAAUAUUGCCUCUAAACCUAAAGUAUCUCUGGGUGACCUUGUAUAAGCAAAUCACAACCUGGGUGACCUUGUAUAAGCAAAUCACAAAUGUCUGCAGGACCUAUCCAAAAGCCAGGCCUCACAGGAGUCCCACAGAUAAAGCGCUGCUAAAGCUGAGCACACACUCCAAGAAUCUAUCCAUUUAAACAAUCCACCCCUCAGCCCACAUUUUCUCCUUGCUCCUUCCAGCUACAUGUUACCCCACUCCACGAUACAAACUGCUCCUCUCCUGCAGCAGAAUUAGACCCAAAGAACUGCUGUCCCUUCCUGUAUCCUAUUCCUUGCCUCCUUGAGAGCAGCCACUAAGUUCCUUAGAGCUCCCAUGGAUUGCUUAUACUUAAAAUACACCCCAUGCUCCCACAGGCUGGUUUACAACCUCAGGCGCACAGGCGAUGGGAAUGACACCCACGACAAAAGCCUGAGGGCCAGCUCACGUCAGAAUGAAGACUAGGGGACAAGUCCUCAGGCUCCUGGCUCUGACUCUUUCCACUUCACUAUUCUGCUUCUCUCUUUCUUGCCGUCAGUAUUGGCACUUGUAAGAUGAGUUUUCUGAUAGUUCCCAACCACGUUGGAGAGAAAGGAUCUGAGAAGUCAGUUGAAACAACACAACAACAAAAACUAAUUCCCCAGACAGAUGUUCUGCCAAUGGGUGAUUGGCAUUUGAUUGUGUAUUAGAGCCAUGGCUCUUGUAAGCAGCUGGGGAGGGGUCUGUGGGGAUUACCUUUCCAAGGGCCAUUCAGAGGGGAAAAGCUACCUGUGCUCAAAAUCAACCAAUGAGGAUCUCCUGAAUCACCAGGAAGCCAAAGAGCCCAGGGAUAGGGAGGGCAUGGUGAAAGGUUGGGGGAGUGGGGGACAACAGCAUAAAGGACUCUGUUUUGCUAGGAGCCCAUCACUAAACAAAGUGCACACUCCACACUCCCUGCAGAGGCUGUGCUGCCCUCCAGGUGUGAGUGAAGGUGAUGGCCUACCCUGCUAGCAUCAGCACCACUAGAUGGCUGUCAGCAUCUCAAGGGGGCAAGACCCAUGUCUGAUUCAAUAACCUGUAUUCCGAGCACUCAGCAGAGAGCUUGGCACACUGUCAGUGCUCCCUCAAGAAGUUAAACGGAUGCUGCAGACCAGGGCAGCCCAGCUGGGUUGGUCCAGAGGCAAGGGAGUGACACCCACUCCCUGAUGCAGUAUAUCCCGUAUACCACAGCCCUGCAAGUCCACAUUCAAUUCAGGCAGGGGUGGGGAGGGGACAAGAGAGACCUGAGAUGGGGCACCUCUGAGUGAUCCCCCCACAGCCCAAAGCACUGGCAGCCCCCUAGGAGACCCUGGAAUGGACUUGCUGACAGCAGCCACGUACCUGAUGGCUCACACGUCCCCGCCCUUUGGCUUAUGUUUCCCCCCUGCUCUUUCCUGCUAAAGUGACCGCUGCUGAAUGCCACCAGCCAUGGGGUCAUGCAGCUUCCCUCCCGAGCCUGAUCCACUGAGGUUUCCACAUGUGUAGUCAUGGGCUUUGUCAUGACUGAGCUGAGGACGCCUUCUUCCCUUUGAGACCAGAAAGAGAAAGCCCACAGGAGCUGAAGGGCAGCUGGGCAGCACUGUCAACGUGCAGACGACAGAGGCCCGGGCCUGGCUGGUGCCUGCUGCCCUAGCCAGGGAGGUCACCCGUCUCUUCCGCAGUUAUCCUGCUUUGCCUGCUGCUGAGUCUCUGAGGUGACGCUCCUUCUGUCGUUGGCUCAGCCCUCCAACCCAGACCGCACACUGUGGCCUCUCAAAGCAAUGUCUCCUGAUAAGCUGGCCAGAAACAGAAGGGAGGAGAGUGGGGAGGAGAGGGUUGGAGGCGACAGCAGAAAUUCCUUCCAGAUUCUCUAUAUUCUGUGUUGUUUGAACACAAUAAGCAUAUACUAUCUCUGUGAUUUAAAUUCAAAUGUCAGUGAAAAAAGUCAAAGCUCAGGCCAUACUGCUGUGGGUUCAGAGAGGUUUGACUCAAAGCCUAUCAUGGGGCAGGAAGAAUUUUUUGCUGGUCAGUAUAACCAGGGCAGAGAAAGGUUUUUAUUUCUUAAAAAUGUUUUCUACAUUAAAAAAAAGAAAGUCCAGGAGUCAAAACUAGACCCUCCUUCAUUCCAAUGGACAUAGGUAGCAGAGCCAGGGACCCAGUCCUUGUGCCAGGAGGUGCUGGGGAGAGGCAGGGGAGCCUCGGGUGCUGCUGCCAUGCUCCCCAGCCGAGUACAGGGCCCAGGAAGAAGACCCAGCCCUAGUUGGGGUGCAGCAGCUGCACAUACACCCUACUCUUUGUGGUCAGGCCACACUCUGAGACCCAGCUCAGCCUCUAAACAACUUUCCCUGGGAGCCAAACUCAACCCAUCCCAGUCCUGGCCAAGAGGUGUCACCAUCAUCACAUUGAGGGCCAGCCGCCCCAUCACAGGGCAAGCCGCCCUGACCCAGGAGGCAACCAGAAGAAGCUUUGCUCCCCUAGAAGCAGACUCCACGAGAGGCUCACUGCCCUCCUAGGGGGUCUCCAUGUGUUCCCUUCCCCCAUCCCAAGGGAAGGCUCCAAGCCUUGUCUUUACAGAAGGGAACACUGAGACCCAGAGACCGGGGUGACUCUGGCCAGGUCACAGAGACACAACCAGAACACUUUUAACACCAACCCCUUUGAAAAAGACAUUUCUGGCACCUAGAAGAGAUGUCUGUGCUCAGAGCCAUAACUUCACUCUUCAUACAAGAAAGAAGUUUCAGUUUACUCAGCACACUCACCCCAAGUGAGGUCAGAAUUCCCUCUGACUUCAUACCGGCAGUUUCUUAAGGAAGCCAGGCCAUGAGUUGUCAUUCUGAGGCUCUCAAAAAGGUGGUCCCAGGUGCUUUUUGCUGAUAUUUCUCCUGCUUUCAAGUAGCUUCAUUAAUAAAUGAAAAUUAAUUAGGACCUUAUUAAAAAGAGCUUUUGGUUGUGAUGGUUAAGAAGAAGGUGCUGAUUGGCUAUUCUAGGUGGAGUCCUCAGCGUCCUCUCAGCAGAAGCUGUCGUCAUGGACGCAAUCAUACAUUAAUAGGAGCCAAUGAAGAGAAAGAACUUGAACUCUGCCUUCUCCUGGGUUCCCUUCCCAGGAAGUAAUCCUGCCCUGGGGUGGAGCGCAGCUGGGAGCAGCAAGACUGCAGGGCAAAAAGGGUAGGGGAAGGACCUCAUAUCCAGGAUGAGGGACUAUCUACCUCAAAAGAGCCAGCAAGGAACAUGUGGGGCAGAAGCCCAGAGGCCCUUUGUGACAUCCCCAGAUGAGUUCCGUGUGUAGGUGGAGCUCCAACCUGAAAACCCAGCAAGGAAUUGGACUGGAGCCAGGAGGGAGUACCAGGGAGCUGUGGCCCAGCCCAUUCAUGGCCCAGCUUCACCUGGCCUGUGGUCUGCUUGUACCAUGGAAUGCGUGCAGUGGCAGGGAAGCUGUUCUCCAUAAUGAUCACAAAAACUGACACCUCCUGGAAUGGCUUUCUUUGGGCCUGCUUCUGAUGACCGUCUAGAUAUUUGAAGCCACUGACACUGUCCACCUAAAACGUCUCUGGAUUCACCGUCAGGGUUUGCUGCAGGCUGAGUUUUGUAACUUGGCCUGUGACCUGUCCUCCAAAGGACAGCUUCAGGCUCAUCUAAGGGGCCAGCCAGAGCCCCGCCACCACGUCUUCUCCCUGGAUCACCUUUCUUUGCAGGGGCUCUCGCCUGUAAAAGCCUAAGAACAAAUCCAGAGGAAGCUGGCCUGGAGGAAUGCAGACAGAACCACUCUGUCUCCUGGGAGCUUGGAGUUUUCAUUUUGUCCAAGCUUGCAGGGUCAGGCUGCCCACUAAUCUUGCGGAGGGACACAGCUAAGAGGAACUUCUCUGGAGGUUCUCUUCCAAACAAAGAUCCUGGUUUGGGCUCCCAUCUAUACACAGAAGUAGCAUGACCCUGCAGCUUUGUUGACAAAACAUUUGAAAAAUGCACCCAGGACACUAGCAACCUGCCUAUGUAUAUUUCUGGCAAUCAUUCCUGGUUGAAUUUAAAAAAAAAUUCUUGAAAAUAAAAAAAGAUGCUUAAAAAGUCUAUGUCUCUCACAGUCAAUGGUAACCACUUUGGAAGUGGGUCACCUCCCCUUGCUAACUGCCCUGGGGGAUGAGGGUAAGGGAUGAUAGGGCCCCCUGUGAGAGGACAUUUGAAGUAUUUGUGCCAUUGUCCUAACAGAACAGAUGCCUGUCUGCAGGGCACGCGUGCAUGCAUUGACAGUGUGGUUCUCUCAGGCUUCUAGUCAUGGCAUUAGCCAGUCAGCACAGACACAGCCCCAAGGGUCCACAUGCCCUCUAGGCAGACAUAAGGUGGCUGGAAAGGCAGCUGCCCCUGCACUAAGGACUGUUAGUUCAACUGCACCAUUUUGUAAACCACCCCCGACACCACCAUCCCCGCCCCCCCCCCCCAUUUCACAGAUCUUGAUUAAAGUAAAAUGUUCCAUGGGGGUUUGGACCAUGAGAAACAGCCUGCCCGACUUUCUGACAUUCUGCUGUAAAAAAGUACAGAGAACAUCACAUUCAUCUGGAACAUGGGCCAAACCAGCUCAUCAUGGGAACAUGUUAACGUUUUCCCAGGCAACAGCCCCCAGACCCCUCCCGCCCUGGGCUAUAAUUGCCCCAGCCUGUAAGCAGUGGUGAGCAUGUAAGCAUUAAGCAGGUCCCCCACCUCUGCAGGUCUUAUGCUGAACAUAGAACCUGCAUUGCUGUAAAGCCACCAACUCCUCUUUCUUUAACCCUCAUCUUCCCUUUUAAAAACCUAACAAGGAUGCUAAACCUUAGAAACCAUGACCUUCACUGAAACUGGCUGAGUUUAAGGAGAGACUCUUAGUCAUGGUCAGUUUCCCCUCUCCUCUGGCUCCCACCUCCCUUAACCAUGCUGUGUCCCUUGGGGGAUGAGCACACCUGGCUGCUUCUCCAGACACUAGUCCCCUCCCAUUUCCAGCUCUGGGCUGAGCUGGCCACCUUCCCAACUAUUCUGAAUGCCUCUUUCACUGUUUCUUUAAGAAUAGAAUAAUAUAAUGCAUUUAACAGUGGAAAGACUAUUAAAAAAUGAAGUUAUCCAUACUCAGAAAGUGACUACAUUUUCCCAAAUAUUGUGUGUUGCCAUAAAAAACAGUGAGGCAUGAUCUGCUAUAGAAAAAUCUCCAUGGCAUUGGGUAGGGAAAAAAUCUAGUAGGUGGAUUAUAAUUAUAUUUAGGAAAAAAAUAUAAAAGGGGGACACAAAACUAUUUUUUUGCUCGUAUUGACAUUAAACUGCAAGUCAUUACCAAGUAGAAUUUAAGAUAGAGCACAAUAGACUCCUCUCUGAACGUGAUUAUAAAAAGGACAAACAUAGACUAGUCUGUUUUCCUGUCAUGAAAACCCAUGUACUCACCUCUUAGAUCUAAAACUACAUUUGACCAUAUUGCAUCAUCUAUACGUUUUUUUACUGAACCAUUUCAGAGGAAAUUACCUUAGAUGCUGCAUCUUUAAAAUGUUGAGUUUGCAUUGCCUCCACAUAUUCCCCUACGCAAUGCCAUUAGCACCCUAACACAAUAAGUGAUUCCCCAAUACCAUAUAAUUGAGUCCAUAUGAAAAUCUCAGUUGUUUCCCAAAUGUUGAUGCUGCUCACCACAGGCUUGGUCUAGGUCCUGCUGCUUGCCACAUAGCAAGUCAAUCACUGUGACAUCAAGUAUUGCCAAGGAAGAAGAUUUUAUUUGGGUGGUAUCAGCCUCAAAUAUGUCCCUUCCCAGCAACUCAAGGAUUUACAUACUGGAAAGCAAAAACAGGAGGGGCCGGGACAAGGAGUUGGUCAAUAGGCAGCAGGCAGUAGCAUAAGGGGUUCCAGCAUCUCAUCGUAACCACAUGUGGGAAAACAGGAAUGAGGCAGGAGUAAGAAGUUGGUCAACAAGCAGCAGGUGCACCUCAUUGUCCAGUGGCAGUAAUCUGGAAAGCCUCAGUUCCCAGUACCACUUAGGAGGCCUGAUGGAUGGUUGGUUUCCUGAGAAAGGAACUCAGAUAAGACAAAUGUAAGUUUUUCAAGCUUCAGGGGUUUGUUGUUGUUGAGACAACAGUUUCACUCUUUCACCCAGGCUGGAGUGACGUGGCACUAUCUUGGCUCACUGCAACCUCCACCUCCCAAGUUCAAGCAAUUCCCCUGCUUUAGCCUCCCGAGUAGGUGGGAUUAUAGGCACCCACCACCAAGCCUGGCUAAUUUUUGUAAUUUUAGUAGAGACGGGGUUUCACCAUUUUGGCCAGGCUGCUCUUGAACUCCUGACCUCCACUUGCCUCAGCCUUCCAAAGUGCUAGGAUUACAGAUGUCAGCCACCGCACCCAGCCCAAGCUUCAGUAUUAUGAGAAAACUGGGCCAGUUUCAAUGUUUAUUUAUUUGGUUAUUCAAGUCUCUUAAUGUUUUUUAAAUCUAAAACAGUCCUCCCACCAGCCCUCCUUCCCUGGACACUUUUAAAUCCAUAGCAUGAAAGAGACCAAGUCAUUGUCUUAUAGAAUAUCCCUCAUUUUAGAUUUGCCUGAUUGUGUCUUCAUUCUCUAAACUGCUAUAAACCAGCAGUUGGAUUUAAAGGCUUGAUAAGACCCAGGUGGAGGAUUUUUGGCACCAAUGCAUCCCAGUUGAUGCUGUAUACUUACUUCAUGUUGUAACUCAUCAUAAUAUCUGAUGAUGUCAUGAUGGGAUCUCCUAGAAUAUAUAGACAAUGGCCAGAUCAUACAUAAAAAUAGAACUCUGACCCAUAGUCUGCAACAACCAGUCCCGGAAGCCAAACAACCCCUGUUGCCUUUGGUCCCAAAUGGCCAGGACUUGAUCAAUGCCUGCCAGUUUCCCUAAUUCUUGCCUCUGCUUUGAAAAUCCUUUAGUAGUACCAACCAGAAAAGCCAAAUGCGCUUCCCUAACCAAUCAGAUAGGAUACUCUGCUUCUAGUUAGCUCACCCACAGCCUCCAGAUGUGGAAAGUCUUUGAUCAGGGCUCACCUGAAGCCUCCUCUUUUCCCACCAUAAAGCUUUCUUACUCCCCUGACUGCCUUUGAGUGUCUGCAAUGGCAAGUGACUGUGGCUGAGUCUCUGGCUAUAUACCAAACUGAGAAUAAGUAGCUUUUGCUCAUUCUCAUUUGGGUGGUCUACAGUGAUUUCUGAAGUGAAGUGUGAUCACAGUGAAGGUAGUAAUAGACCCCUUACACUGUCAGUGGAAAUGGACUCAGAUGUUUUACUUCAUGCCUUUCUUAUACUGCUUGGAUGUUUUCCAUGUGCCUAUAUUCAUAUUUACAAUAAAAGCAUGAUUUAGACUUUCGCUUAGAAUCUAUCUGUGGUUUUAAAAUGACAAGGUUUGUUCUUCUUUUUAUUAGGCAUGUAGUUAAUUACACUGAUCUCAUUAAAAAAAUAAGUUUAAUUUGAAUAAAAGAAUGCCACAGUGAAAUACCAUUAAAAAGAAUGAAGGACCUUAACCCUGGGAGAACAUAUAAAAGCAUAUGGAAGUCACCCAGUUUGAUGUCUGAUGUAUAGUGGGUGUUCUGCAAAUAUCAGAGCCCCUUCCCAUGGUGCUGCACACUGCACAAGACGGCAGGGGUCCACCCCUUUUAUCUUUCUGGUCCCCUCCAGUCAUCACCCAUAGUGAAUCCCAAAGGCAGCAACUCCACCCUUGGUGCUAGAGGACCACCGAUUCCUCCUAGUCCUCAACGGAAACCUCCCUGCCAUCUUCUUCUUGGUGUCUGCCAACAUACAUUUCUUUCUUCACUUCCCAGGACAUUUGAAGUACUUGGUGCCCCUCCCUCCAAGCUCCUCCCUUCCCUUCAGGUAUCAAGGUCUCAUUCAACAAUUCAGGCUCAAAAUACAAUGGAAACCUCAAGGGGGUGAGCCCAGAAAGGAACUCUUCCUUGUCCAGUUCCAGAAGAAAACCAUUAUCUUCUCUAACCCCAGGAUACACAGUGGCUGUUCUACACUCAGAAAUCCCUGCAUGUGAUUCCCAGGGAAGGAGGCUGCAACUCUCCUGCUAAGAGCUCACGUAGCCCCCGGGCUCCCCUACCCCCACCCCAUCCACGCACACCCCUCUCCCAUCUUCUCUGGCCUUCUCCAGGGCUGGCUAGCAUUCUGGUAGCACCUUUGCCAGGGAAGCAAGCUCCCGGGACAUGCUUCACUUCGAGUCCUUGCCCCACUGACUCGGACUUGCGUUCACCUGCCUCUGGUCUCUUCACCUGGCAGCUUUGCAUUUUCAGAUUCAGCUUCUCCAGUGAGUCCAUUUGCCACCACAGCAGUGAUUGCAAUAGAGGGACAGCACGUGUUUUCUGUAUUAUGUGAAAAUAAUUUAAGAUACAGAACAUUUAUGUAUGCAUCUUCUGGAUGAGGAGGGAACAGAAAUUCACAUUUGAUUUAGCUGGUAUCUGCAGAAAGCAGCAGUAGGGAUUAAGAAAUGGAUAAAAACUGUGUUACUUUUUGGGAUGAAGAGUGGCAUGAAACUGAGAUCUCAGUGUAUCUAUUUUUAUAUCCCUUCUAUUUGAGGGGGGAAAAAAGUAUACUCCAGGAAGUUCUGAUCACCAAAUCCUUCCAGAGAUCCAGAGUUCGGUCUUCCAAGCCAAGGAGGCUUUCAGUCCCACCCACUGAAAUAAUCCAGUCCUUUUUUCACCUGUGUCAACCCCGAACAGAGGUGUGGCCUGCGAUAUCCUUCAUGCAAUCAAUUCGGGCCUCCCCCUGGUCCUGGGGGUCAUCUGAGGUCCGCAGCCUUGGCAGAGGAAUGUUUUCUGCCAGCAAUUCCCACAGAUGGGCUGGCUCCCCCAAGUGGGCAUGUGCACGAUGCCCAGUGUGGGCCUCUGUUUUUCAUCCCUGAAUCUAUCCCCCACAGAAUGGUUGAGUUGCCACACCUACCUCUCUAAUAAGCUUGAGGGUACUGUGUCCCCUGGGGGACGUCCCCAUGUUGGAGCCCACGUGCUUGACCAUGCAGGUGAUUAUAGUUCCUCCUCUCCUUUCCAGGGCUUUGAGCCCAGCACAUGAAGUUGGGCAUUUCUUGUUCCCCCAGUUGGCUGCUGUGGAAUGACUAGGAAACUUCUUGGAUGAGAGUUUAAACCCCAUAGGAUGCCAGGUGGCACCUGGGCACAGGUCAAACUUUCCGAGAGCAUUUUAAACCUCUUUCACUGCAACCAGGAAUGGCUGGCUCUCUGCUGCUGCUGCUUGCAGGGAUUACAAUUGUCCCAUCCAUACCUUGGUCUGUGGUGGCUGUUGUUACCUGGGCAUGUGUGGCCACCACCUUGACUGCUCAGGUAGUUCCUUCCCUGAGUUCUAGAAUGAUGUCACAAUGAUGCCCAUUAUGACAGAUCAGUCCAAGGCUGCACACUGACCCAACCAAUCAACAUGUGGGUCAGAGCUGUGAUUAAGAGACUAAGUCAGUGAAUUCCCAAUUGUGAAUAGACAGUAUGAAGGCUUGAAACCUCUCUGAACCUGAUGGGCAUAGGCAGUGAUCUUCUGCAGAUCCAACUACGGCACAGAAGAGUGUCUCAUCCGGAACACAUUUGGAUAGUGACACAACUUCAUUUGCAGUCAGCUUGUCAUCCUGAGCUCCCUUCCCAAGCAGCAUGGAUAUUGCACUGGAUUUGCUGACCAGGGAGUUGGGUUAUAAGGGGUAACUCUUGGCCUCUUGUUAAUAUUAGCAACAUUGACAGUACCAUAUGAUCCAUCUAUGACACCGCACAGGGAAAUCAAGUCCAGUGUUAUAGGACAGGAGAAAUGACUCCAGCCAGGAUCAAGCAUUGCUUUGGCAUUGUUCCCCUAUACCUGGGCCUUUCUUCUCCGAUUGUUGGGGUAACUGGAGUGAGGAGCCUGAGGGGACCCAACGAUGUUCUCUUGGGAGAAUUUCCUCCCAUGGUCUUCUCCAUUUGUAGACAUUUUGAUUGGCUCGAUUUCUAAGGACCAAUUAUCUGUGCUUUAACCUGAAAUAAGGAACCUGCUUUCUGAUCUUCAAGAAUACAUGGACACACACCUGUCAGAUUCAACUCAGAGAUUUUUGGUUUUAAAGGAACAAUUGUGUUCAUCACAAAUGAAGGUUCCCUCAAGGAGCAGCCUGCUGGAAUCACCUCCUGAGUCCAAAUCUUGUACCCCUUAAAAAUACUUACUUAGUAUUUACAAGUAAUAAGUAUUUAGGGUGUUAUGAAAAAUGCAAUUUGAAACGGUACAUUGUUUCUUAAGAACAAGAGGAACUGUUUAGAAAUUAUACAAUGUAUUAACAAAAGUACUGAAUAUAUCUCAAACACAAAAAUGUAGAAACCAGUUACCAAACCUCAAGAAAAACUUAAACUUGUAAAAUGCAAAGGUUAAAAGUAUUUCAUCUUCAUUCUAUUGUUGGCAGAUAACCUUAAUAAAAAUGAGCAGUUAUUUCCAGCAAAAUGGCAUGUAAUUUUAGACGUAUCACUUUUUAUUUCUAUGGAAAAGCAACACUGGCAUGUAUCGUUGCUGAAGGUGAGGCAGCUUUUUGAUUCUGUUCUAUUCUGAGAUGCAUAUUAGACACUGGGCACACACCCCAGAUGUGCUCAGGGCACAGCCUGGCCCCACAGAGCACUCCUGUCUGCAGGUGGGCACCUAAGGCCCUGCCAUUCCCACUUCUUAUCAUGUUUACUUAGUGCUCAGAACCUCUGCGCAUCUUUAAAUGACUUCAGUGAGAGUAGAUUAAAGUGGCUUAGAUGCUCCUAAGCUUCCUCAGAGCAUGUAGCAACUGUAACAGCAAUUCAGAAAAAGGACAAAAUUUAUUUUACUCUUAAUGGUACACAGCAUAGGAAAACAGCUUAGGCAGUUUACUGUAACUGAUGGCCCUGAUGUCCUUGUCUAUAAACUAUAAACUCCCCACAGAAGCUUCUGUAAGUAUAAUGUUAAAUAAGUCUAUAAACACAAAUAACAGCAGCAAGAAGGAGGAGGUCAUCCAAAUGCCCGGUUACAGGAAACUGGUGAAGAAAUGUACUGGUAAACCCACUGCGAUGGUGUGUGUGUGUGUAUGUGUGUGCAUGUGUAUGUGUCAACUUGGCUCAGUGACAGUCCCUAGUUAUUCAAGCUAGGUGCUACUGUGAAGGUAUUUUGCAGAUGUGAUGGAUAUUAAGAAAGUAUCCUAAAGAUCUGGGUGAGCCCGAUUCAAUCAGCUGAAAAGCUUUAAAAGCAGAAGCCUAAGAAGGCCUUAAAAGCUGAAGCUUCCCUGAAAAAAGAAAUCGCAUCCUUGGGCAAUGGUGUCUGCUGUGCCUGUGCCUGCGGAGUUCCAUUCUGCUCAUUCUCUUCCCUUUCUGACUGCCCAGAGACAACAGCUGUGGUCUGUGCCCGGGACCUCCCCGAUUCUGGACUUGCUUAGCAGCACCUGCAAUCUUGUAAGCCAAUUCCUUUAACAAAUUUGCAUAUACAUAAAAACACUGGUUCUUCCUCUCUAAUUAAAGCCUAAUCAACAGCCCACAAAUUAGAAGGGGGAUGCUGCUGUUAGAAGGAAUAAGGUAUACAUUUUAGUCCCUUCAAGACCCAAUAAAUGAUGGUAAAACAAUAGCAAAGAAAAAAACCUUAUUUUGGGGUUAAGAAAGCAGACUGAUACAUAAAGUUAAUUGUGCUCCUCUCUUAAAAUCCUACUACAAAACAAUAAAUGUAAUAAAAGAAUUCUUUUAAAAAGACAGAAAUUUAGAAAUACAGAGAAAGCAGAGAGGCAACAACCACAAAAUCAUUUUAGAAGUUGAAAAGCAGAGAGAUCAGUGGCAAAUUCCUUAGCAGACCUGAGAAUACCACAUCCAAAACCAGCAGAGGAAAAUGCUAAGAAUCUUUAAAUGUACAGAACUGUGGCAUUGUUACCCCAUAGACGUUGGGGUACAGGGGAGGCUUAAGUAUAGAAUGGGUGAAAGCUGGGUGAGAAACCAAUUUCUACUUUCCAAGCUACGGAGACACAGCAUGGCCAAAGCGAGGUUUCUUCUCUAGAGAGUAUAAGAGAGGUGUGGAACUAGGGAUGCCAGCACAGAUCCAGAGAAUGGGCACCACACUGAAAACGAAAGGAUGAAGUGACCAUAUGCUGUCAUGCUGGAUGCUGAGUGCGAAGAGCCCCAACCUUCUUCCCCCACAGGGCUCAGAGAUGUGGCCAGGCUGAUCCUUCCCAUCACAUAGAAGGGGCUCCUUGGGGGAACUUGGCAAAUCCCUGAAGACCUAACGAGACCACUGCUGUGCUUCCCCAGUGAACAGCCCAGCCAGACCAUCCUACAGUGAAACUCAAAAGACCACACGCUUACCCAUUUGUUCUAGACUUUUACAUUUCCUUCAUUAGUCAACAUCCAACGAUUAUUUGACACCUGAGGUUAAAGCCUCUAAUGUGCAAAACCAAGACCAAGGGAAAUAAAAUCAAUAUGAAAAAAAAAAACUUAGAGGAAUUGGAAUUGGAAAAAAAAACUUAGAGGGAUGAAGAAAAACAUACUAUCCUCAGAUAAGAUGCUGUAUUCAUGAAACAAGUACAGGAAGAUAUAAAAGAGUUCUUGAAAAUUAAAAACAUGUUAGCAAAACUGAAAACUCAACAGACAAGACUGAAGGAUGAAAGUUGAGUGAAUCGCCACAAAAUAAGAGCAACACAACACUGGAGCGACCAAAAAAUGAGGAAACUGGCCAGACUCGGGGGCUUACACCUGUAAUCCCAGCACUCUGGGAGGCGAUGGUGGGCAGAUGAUGAGGUCGGGAGUUUGAGACCAGCCUGGGAACGUAGUGAGACCCAUUUCUACCAAAAAUUUUAAAAAUUGGCUGGGCGUGGUGUCGUGUACCCGUAGUCCUGGCUAGCUGGGAGGCUGGUAUGGGGGGAGUGCUUGAGCCCAGGAGUUGGAGGCUGAAGUGAACUAUGAUUGCACCACUGCACUCCAUCAUGGUGACAGAAUGAGACCCUGUCUUUAAAAAAGAAGAAAAGAAGUGAGGAAAUUAUUCAGGAUGCCUGACACAUAAAGAACUGAAGCUCCAGAAAGAAGAGGAAACCGGCCCCACAGUUAGGUGCUCACAGCCCUUGAUGUUUUGGCUCUCGGGAUCUGCGUGUCCACCCCAGCCUCCAGCCUCCCAACUCAGACGCAGCAAUCCAGACACAAGGAUGAACACAGACUUGCUAGUUUUCACUGCAUCCAGCCCUGUUCUAGACGAUGAUACUAGGAGAAGGUAAACCCAGUGAUCCUCUCGUGGAGAAAGAAUUCAGAUUCGAGGCUAAGCCUUUCUCCUCAAGGAUUUCCUCAGAGGAAAUAGAUCCCUCAAAGGAGAGGAGGACAGAAAAAGGAAGAAGGCAACAUUCCCAGGAGAUUCUCAGCAAAUUACAGGACAGGUGUCAAGACGAGAGCUGGCCCCAGACUCCAAGGGCAGUGAAUCCAGCCUGGAGCAGGGAUUCAGGACAGACACAUCGGGAGCUGUCAGCACCAAGAUCCCCAUGGGCUUUCCACAGGUCAGCUGAGGACAGGUCGCCUGGGUGAUCCCAUCCACAUUCUUUCUACUUGGCUUAUCUUGACACGAUAGAGGAGCUUCCUGCCUUCCAAAUCAGCUGCAGAACCUCACUCCAUCCCACAGCAGUGCUCAGCUUUGACUUCCUCCCAAAAUUGAGAGGUCAGCUGUGGGGACUGCAAAAAAACAGAACUCGGCAGCAGGCGACCUCCAUCCACAUUCUUGCUAGAUGAUCAGGUCCAUGGACAGUGCGGUCACAGGUCCGGAUGGUGGCAGCCCCGGAAGCCCAGGACGCAUUCAAGCCUUGCUGCUCCCUAGCUUUCCCAGAAGGGGCCCUCGUAAAUUCUUGGGGAAGAGGUCCACUCUGACCUUGAGAUCACAUUAUGUUCUCCAGCAGACGUCAUCCAUCAGUGGAAACACUGUGCUUUCCCCACACAGUUAAUCUGUGCUUGAUGCUCCAUGUUUUCAAAACUGAACAAUACAUGAAGAGCAAGGAAAUUAUUAACUAUAGGUCAGGCUAACACUCACUUUGGUGGAGACGGUGGGUAGUGGUAGUAUUCUGUUCCUUAAAGAUGUUAACGCUAUCCAUUUAACUCUUUAAACUGUACGUUUAUGGCCAGGCACAAUGGCUCAUGUCUGUAAUCCUGGCACUUGCGGAGGCUAAGGUGGGAGGAUUGCUUGAGCCCAGAAGUUCAAGACCAGCCUGGGCAAUAUAGCAAGAUCCCAUCUCUACUUAAAAACAAAACAAAACUAUGCGUUUAUAUUGGAUAUACUCUAUGUAUGAGAUGUAUUGGAUAUCUUCUCUAUGUAUGAUAUCUUUCACAGUUGGGGAAAAAAGAUAAAAACACAUAGUAAUAGGGAGAACGAAAGGGGAACCAUCAAGAGGCCAGAGACUAUAUUCUACAAAGGGAGAGCAAAUGAAAGAGGAUGAACAGACAGGAAAAGGGUGAGGGAACCCACAGGCCAGAAAAGUAGAAGUGGGGCAGUGCAGAGGGCCCACCUGCCCCAGGUCCCACCUCGAGGUCCCCAUCCACUUAGAGGUCCACCAUUCCCAUGCUGGCAUGUGCGCCCUUGUCUGCGGUUUAUGUUCACUCUGUCCCUUCUUGCACUUCAUGUUUCUCUUCAUCCUUGACUUAGUAACCCUCGUGGCCUUGUGUCUCAUCCACCCCACAGAAGAUGGCAGCUCAGCUCCCCAGAGCAAGCCUCUGGUUGGCCCACUGCUGUUGAGCCUCAAAGCUUUGUCUCGGCUGGAAAGACAGGCCUGCGGCUUUGGCUGGUGCUCAGCUCCUACCCUAGAGCUGCUCAGGGUCCACACCUAAGCAUGAGGUCUCCUCCUACCUUGAAGCUGGGGUGUUCUGCAGCCUGUGCUAGGCCAGGAGCGAAGUCAAGCUCCAUUCGAGUCCUGUUCCCCACUCGUAUCACAGAAUCGUAGCUGUUAGCAUGGGAAGGGACCGCAGAGGUCAUCUCAUAUUCAAUUUCUUGGCCUCAUGGCUGGAGCUGAAAAUCUACUCUGCCUUUCCAGAAUGAUCUGAGCCAGCAUGAGACAGACACCAUCUUGGGGAGGAGACUGAUUUGGCUGUGCCCACAACCCUGCCCCCCAGCAUGGUCUCCAUGUGGUAUAGAUAAGCCUCUAACCCACCAGGGCACACAUCCCCCCAGGGCUGCCUGACAGCAUGUCUUGGGCCUGCCCUGCGAGGCCCCAGUGUGCCCAGAGAUCUCAGUGACUUAACUGCCUUCCAUUUCAAAAACACAUAGGAUUGUCUUCCCCCUUGUAAUUACAAAAGAAAACCAACGUGCCCGUAGAAAAUUUGGAAAUUACAGAAGAAGAAAAUAAAAUCCCAGCACCAGAAGUGCGGCUGUUAAGGUUUGGCAUCGUUAUCUGAGUUCUGUGAAAGAAAGCAGUCCUAAAACCAGCAGCUACUGCUCCAAACGCCAUACACCCCCAUUUGCCAGGCCAGUGACUGCAAAUGAUGGCACUGAGUGUGAGCUGUCAAGGAGGCAAAGGCAGGCCCUGUCCCUACGGACACAUGGGCCCGCUCCAACUACCAGAGAGCCCUGCACAGCUCUGUGACACCCCGUAGCCACAGGUGAGAUCAAGACUGCAGCACCAUGGUGGAACUUUACCCGGCAGGAAAGGAUGAGGGAGGCAUCCACACCAAGUCUGCCCCACGGGCCUGGCCAUCAGUGCAAUGUGAGUGAGUGGUCUGCAGAACAUUCUGCCCCCAAGCCCCUCCAAGCAAAAGGAUCAGAGAAGGAGGGCUCUGCUCUGCCCCGGGCCCUUACCACCCUGCAACAUGGAGUUCAGGCCCACAUGGGCUGUUCCGGGAGCCCAGCAAUGCUGGGUGAUCUCCCAGUAUGAUGCUGUCAGGUAUCACAAAGCAGCCCCCAUGCAGGUGGGGCCCUUCCCAGCGGGGAGCCCCAGACAGGGAUCUGACUGAGAAGGCUGCCCAGAGCAUUCAGCUCACUCCCUUUUGAUUUUCCCAAGCCUGCGGAAUUGAAUGCGAGGGCCAGAGGGCAGGCUCUGGGUCUCACACAGAUGGGCUGCCUGGCUGCAGCCACCAGCUCACACCACACUGGACAGAGGGGAGGCAGGGAAAGGGAGGAGGGAGUGAGAGGCUGAUGCAGCAGGUAGCAGGGACUGUGGAUUAUCGUGAGAGCCAGAAAGAACCCACACAUCAGCCAACUCCAGCUACAUGCUGCAGAGGAGAGAAGCUGUCUCAAGUUUAGAAAUAUGAGAAAGCAGAGCGAAUAGGAAGAGAUGAAAAACUUGCAUCUUCAAACAUAACCUUACAGAAAUUGACCUUUAUUUGUUGUACUAAAGCCUGUUUAACUUUUGAUACAAAGUAACAUUUUAGUACAGAAAAUCCCAGUCUGUCAGCUCAGUACCUGUCUGUGCACACUGUACCAUCUCAGUCCCACAUUGCCUGCAACUCAGAAAGCAGCCCCUGCCCCCAGAGGGUCUGUGAGUUAAUACCUUAGGAAUAGUCUACAGUUUUUCAUAGUUUGUCUGAGCUAGAAAACUUGUACCUGUAAAACAAAGGACAGCAUUGGGGACUGAAACUUGUCUCUUUUUUGAACAACUGUGCAAGAAAAUAUAUCCCUUUUUAAAAACGGCAGUUAUGGCUAAACUACAAUCUAGUGUCUAGAAUUACAAAGAAUAAAAUGAAAUCAAGGAUUUCUCACUAGUAAAAUGAAAUGUUAGGAACAGUAUUAAAAUAUAGGUCCUACCCCAAUGACACUUACACAGAGCCCAGUACAGUACCUAUUAUUAACAGGACGCACAGCUUAAGGAGGAACCACAUCAAAUCUUCAGCCAGACAUAUCCAGCCUCAGAAGUGCAAAAAAAAAAAGCCCCCAAA